rnacentral:rRNA from 1 species
GCUCAGGAUGAACGCUGGCGGCGUGCCUAAUACAUGCAAGUCGAACGCGAGCACUUGUGCCCGAGUGGCGAACGGGUGAGUAAUACAUAAGUAACCUGCCCUAGACAGGGGGAUAACUAUUGGAAACGAUAGCUAAGACCGCAUAGGUACGGACACUGCAUGGUGACCGUAUUAAAAGUGCCUCAAAGCACUGGUAGAGGAUGGACUUAUGGCGCAUUAGCUGGUUGGCGGGGUAACGGCCCACCAAGGCGACGAUGCGUAGCCGACCUGAGAGGGUGACCGGCCACACUGGGACUGAGACACGGCCCAGACUCCUACGGGAGGCAGCAGUA